rnacentral:tRNA from 1 species
GCGGGUAUAGUAUAAUGGCAUUAUGCGACCUUCCCAAGGUUGAGACGCGGGUCCGAUUCCCGCUACCCGCU